GUUUGUAGACUUCGGUCUGCUACCUCUUACCCAUGUCUUUUGAGUACCUUCGUUUCCUCGGCGGGUCCGCCCGCCGAUUGGACAACAUUCAAACCCUUUGCAGUUGCAAUCAGCGUCUGAAAAAACAUAAUAGUUACAACUUUCAACAACGGAUCUCUUGGUUCUGGCAUCGAUGAAGAACGCAGCGAAAUGCGAUAAGUAGUGUGAAUUGCAGAAUUCAGUGAAUCAUCGAAUCUUUGAACGCACAUUGCGCCCCUUGGUAUUCCAUGGGGCAUGCCUGUUCGAGCGUCAUUUGUACCUUCAAGCUCUGCUUGGUGUUGGGUGUUUGUCUCGCCUCCGCGUGUAGACUCGCCUUAAAACAAUUGGCAGCCGGCGUAUUGAUUUCGGAGCGCAGUACAUCUCGCGCUUUGCACUCAUAACGACGACGUCCAAAAGUACAUUUUUACACUCUUGACCUCGGAUCAGGUAGGGAUACCCGCUGAACUUAAGCAUAUAAUGCGGA
rnacentral:rRNA from 1 species